CAAACCAAAUGUAUUCUUUUUUGGGUAAAGUUAAAACCAAGUAAGUCCGGUCUAGUACGUUCAUUCCUUUUUUAAAAAAUUUAAUGAAUUAAAUAUAAUGAUCACUUUCAACCCACAACCUUGAGCCACCACAAAGUAGAGCGAAAAACCAACUUCGAGCUGCCAUUUGCCAUUUGCCAUUUUCCAGGGCCACUCUCAAGAGCGUCUUGGCAGAGAUGGACGCGUGACGGGCGGGGGGCGUGGCAAGCGAUGCGUGAAUAAAUCAGCUCGAGUUGCAGGCACAUAGUGCAUAUAACAUUUAAAAAUAGUCAGAAGGUCAAGGAGAUUGGAAAAACUUCCUUAUUGACUUAUGCUGGUAUGCAAUGGUAUAUUCGAUGUGAUCAAAUUGUAUGCAAUAGGAAUUUAAAAACGUUCUUGAAAAUUCAUUAGUGCCCAUGCCAAACAUAAAAUGUAAAAUAAAAUAAAUGAGUAUGCUAAACCCUUAUCAGAUAUGGUAUCC
rnacentral:sRNA from 1 species